rnacentral:sRNA from 1 species
GGAGUUUGAUGCACAACUUCAAGGCAAUCUCAAAGAAAGAAACAAGUUCUUGGCAAGAGAGGCAUCCUCCUUGAAGUAUUUGGCUGAGGAGUUUUCAAUCCCAGUUAUCUUGACGAAUCAGAUUACAACCCAUCUGAGUGGAGCCCUGGCUUCUCAGGCAGACCUGGUGUCUCCAGCUGAUGAUUUGUCCCUGUCUGAAGGCACUUCUGGAUCCAGCUGUGUGAUAGCCGCACUAGGAAAUACCUGGAGUCACAGUGUGAAUACCCGGCUGAUCCUCCAGUACCUUGAUUCAGAGAGAAGACAGAUUCUUAUUGCCAAGUCCCCUCUGGCUCCCUUCACCUCAUUUGUCUACACCAUCAAGGAGGAAGGCCUGGUUCUUCAAGGGCAGUAAACAAGAGCUCUGAAAGGGGAAGGAAGCCAGGAGAAAGCCAGCUCCAUUAGUCACGCAGCAGCAUAUCCUGUCACAAAGGACCCCAGUUGAGUAAUCGCCCAAAAUAUGCCUGUUAUUUUUUUCUGUCAGAAAAAAAAUGGGGCCUGCCAAAAUGUACUGUAAAAAAAAAAAAAAUCUGGUGUCUUAGGCCCAGAGAGGGAAAAGAAAAUAAAGAAGAAACAGUCAUA